rnacentral:rRNA from 1 species
CGGGGUGGAGUAACGCGUGAGGAACCGGCCUUGAAGAGGGGGACAACAGUUGGAAACGACUGCUAAUACCGCAUAAGCCCACGGCUCGGCAUCGAGCAGAGGGAAAAGGAGUGAUCCGCUUUGAGAUGGCCUCGCGUCCGAUUAGCUAGUUGGUGAGGUAACGGCCCACCAAGGCGACGAUCGGUAGCCGGACUGAGAGGUUGAACGGCCACAUUGGGACUGAGACACGGCCCAG